rnacentral:rRNA from 1 species
AUUGAACGCUGGCGGCAGGCCUAACACAUGCAAGUCGAGCGAGCGGCGGACGGGUGAGUAAUGUAUGGGGACUGCCCGAUAGAGGGGGAUAACUACUGGAAACGGUAGAUAAUACCGCAUACGAUCGGAUAACCCAUAUGGGAUUCGCUAGUAGGUGAGGUAAUGGCUCACCUAGGCGACGAUCCCUAGCUGGUCUGCGAGGAUGAUCAGCCACACUGGGACUGAGACACGGCCCAGACUCCUACGGAGGCAGCAGUGGGGAAGAGUGCACAAUGGGCGCAAGCCUGAUGCAGCCAUGCCGCGUGGAUGAAGAAGGCCCUAGGGUUGUAAAGUACGUUCAGGCGGGAGGCGUUACCGACAGAAGAAGCACCGGCUAACUCCGUGCCAGCCGCCGCGGUAAUAC